GAUGAACGCUGGCGGCGUGCCUAAUACAUGCAAGUCGAGCGAACAGACGAGGAGCUUGCUCCUCUGACGUUAGCGGCGGACGGGUGAGUACCACGUGGAUAACCUACCUAUAAUUCUGGGAUAACUUCGGGAAACCGGAGCUAAUACCGGAUAAUAUAUUGAACCGCAUGGUUCAAUAGUGAAAGACGGUUUUGCUGUCACUUAUAGAUGGAUCCGCGCCGCAUUAGCUAUUUGGUAAGGUAACGGCUUACCAAGGCAACGAUGCGUAGCCGACCUGAGAGGGUGAUCGGCCACACUGGAACUGAGACACGGUCCAGACUCCUACGGGAGGCAGCAGUAGGGAAUCUUCCGCAAUGGGCGAAAGCCUGACGGAGCAACGCCGCGUGAGUGAUGAAGGUCUUCGGAUCGUAAAACUCUGUUAUUAGGGAAGAACAAAUGUGUAAGUAACUAUGCACGUCUUGACGGUACCUAAUCAGAAAGCCACGGCUAACUACGUG
rnacentral:rRNA from 1 species